AUUAAUUUAGGAGGGUAAAUCCGCUGAAUUUUAAAAAUUGCUAAAAUAUAACUAAGCGGAAGAAAAGAAAAUAACUAUGAUUCCUUUAGUAACAGCGCGUGAAAAAGGAUAAGCUCAAUUUAGAGAAUCCUACGAUUUUUUUUUAAAAGAAUUUUAGGAAUUGUUUCUUUUUUUAUAUAAUAUAUAUACUCUAUAUGAUAACUGUUCUUUGGAUUAUAUAUUACGUAAUGUGUAUAUACAUCUAUUUUACGGGUACACAAGAGCAAAGAUAUUAAAAAACAAAUAGGAAAUAUAAUGGAACAUUAUCCCAGAGAGGGUGAAAGGCCCGUACUUGUUUUAAUAUCUACCUUGUGCUUAAAUUAGAGUUAAAAAUAAAGAAUGAGUUGUGUUUGAUGAAUAUGGGACACUAAUACGUGUGAUAAAAAUUCACAUAAAGCUAAAUAUGUGUAGGAGACCGAUAGCAAACAAGUACCGUAAGGGAAAGAUGAAAUAGUACUCAGGAAUGAGCCAUUAAAUAGUACCUGAAAUCGUUAAGGUGGAAAGGAUUAAGAGCGUGAAGACGUAAGGGUUUUAUUAAAAAGUAUGUACAUGUGUAUAUAUAUAUAUAUAUGUAUGUAUAAGAGAGAAUUUCAUUUUCUCUUUGAUAAUUUCCUUAUUAUAAUAAACAAAAGUGAAUGAGAGAAAUUUUGAAGAUUGAAGUAAUUUUUUAAAAAAAUUAAAGAAUUAAUUAUAUAUAUAGUAAUAAAUUUUUAUUUAUUUUUAUUUAUUUUUAUGUAAUUGAUUAUUUUUUUUUUUUAAAGAAUGUGAAUGAAUGAAUGGAAAACACUUCUUUCUGAUUAAAAACAUUUCUAUUUACUUAGGAAUAUAAAAUAUAUAUGUAAAAAUAGAAAGUAUUUAUAUUUUUUGUUUUUAUGUAUGUAUAAGUUGUUUAUAAAAAAUACUCUCUUAAACCAACCGUCUUGAAACACGGACCAAGGAGUCUAUCAAAUAUGCAAGUGUAUAUGUUUAGAGGAAACAUGUAAAUUUUUUGUAUACACGCAUAGAUGUUCCAAAUGUGUGAUAUAUGUAAGAAGUGUGCACACAAAAGAUAUGUAUGUAUAUAUGUAUGUGUGGGUGGGCUUUUUAUAUAUUUUCAUUUUCAUUUGAUUUGUAGAUUUUGUUAUGAGAUGAAAAAAAUAGAAAUGGAAAAAGAAAUGAAAAUAAUUAAAAUUAAUUUUUUUUUUGUUUUUGUUUUUUUUUUUUCUUUUACUUUUUGUAAUUUUUUUAUUUUUUUUAUUUUUCAUUUCAUGCAUACAAAUUACUUAUUAUAUUAAAAACAGAAGAAUUAAAAUCAAGAAUUAUAACAUGUUAAGAAAUAUUUAUUAUUUUUUUUUGUGUUUCUUUUCUAGAUUUUUUUUUUUCUUAUGUUUUUAAUUGUGAGUAAAGAGUAUAUUUGAUAGGACCCGAAGGGCUUUGAACUAUACAUGUAAUAAAAUUAUUUGAGAACAUGAGAGUCUUUUUAUGGUUAAAAAAGUGUUAUUCUUAAAUAAAUAUGUAUCAUUAAUUUUUAGUGAAUUUGUAUAUAUUUAAGGAUCCUUUUUUUUUUCCAUUAUUACAUUGUAGGAAAUAUAAAAAAUGAAAAGUCUUAUUAGCUGGUUAUUUUCGAAAGAUCUCUCGAGAUCACUGGAGUUGAUUUUGAUAUAUUUUUAUCGUAUCAAAUAAAUUAAAAUAUAUAUAUAUAUAUAUAUAUAUAUAUAUAUAUAUAUACACAAUGUUGAUAUAAAAGAUCUAAUUGUGAAUUUGUAAAUUUAUAUUUUAAUUUGUUUUGAUAUUUUGGUAAAAAGUGUAAAUAAGAUAAAUAUAUAUAAGUAGUAUAUUAUAUUAUUUUAUUUAUAUAAAAAUAAGAUAACUCCAAGUGUACCAUUUUUUCGUAAAAAAAAAUUGGUAAUGAGGGAUGCUCCUAAUGCUUGGAUAAGGUGCCUAAGUAUUCGCUCAUGAGAUUCUGUUUAAAAAAAAAAGGUGUUGGUUCAUGAUAACAGUAGGACGAUAUUCAUGGAAGUUGAAAUUCGCUAAGGAGUGUGUAAAAACUCACCUUCCGAGUGAACUUGCCCUUAUAAUGGAUGGCGCUAAAGUGAAUUACCGAAACCAAGCCAUAAAAAGAUAAAGAAAAAAAAAAAAAAAAUAUUAAAAAAAAAUUAAAAAAUUAUAAUCAACUGGGGAAAAGGUGUAAAGAAGAAAUUUUUUUUUUUUUUUUAUUCCUUUUUUCUUUUUGUUUGUUUUUUUUUUUUUAUUAUUUAUUUUAUUUUUUUUUUUAUUUUUCUUGUUUUUGAACUUUUUAUGUGUAGAAAAUCGUGGGGUUUGUGUUGAAGCGAAAUACGUGAGUUUUCGUGGAACAUCUCCCUAGUGCAGAUCUUGGUGGAAGUAGCAAAUAUUACAAAUGAAAAACUUUGAAUGACUAAAGUGGAGAUGGGUUUCUUGUAUAUAGAUUUAUUAAUUUAAAUUUACAAGAGUUAGUCGCUUGCUUAUGAGUUUGCUACUUUUGUUUUUUUUCUGAAUGGAUGUCUCUUUAUUUUUUAUGAAGAGAUAAUGAAAAGAAAAGUUUAGCAUACGUGACAAGGGGGUAUGUUUUAUGAUCGAACUUGUAUCAACCGCUUCUCUGAUUAUACUAAGAGAUGGCAUACAUUUAAUCUCUAUCACCUAUAAAAUUUCCUCUACUCAAAUAAAAGUAAACAGGUUAAUAUUCCUGUACGUUCAUAAAGAUUUAAGUAAGAUAGGUAAUGGUAACAUUUGAAUGCUGAACUCCUAUAUAUAGUAAGUACGUUCGGAGUGCGUAUUUUGAAUUAUAUUCCUUUAUAAUUAUUGCACAUGAAAAUAUAUAUAGCUAGGCCUAUGUCUUAAAUGCAAGAGUCGUAUACUUAGGGUGGCUUAGCACAGCGGUCGGCAUAUGGAAAUUGGCAAAUAUAGAAGGAUGAAUUUAUUCAUAUAUAAUUUAUUAGAUCAUAGAUUUUAUUUUUAUAAUAAUUUCUUGUUCUGUAUUUUAUAUAUGAAAUUCAUUCUUUUUGUUUGUAUCAAUAGUAAUUCUAUUAAAAUUUAGGGAAUUACCCGAAACUGUAUUACUAUCACUGAAUGUAGGAGGGAUAUAUCUUAUAAGUUUUAGAGAUGUAAUUUAUAUUAUAUUCUUUAAUUCCUUAUUUGACCGUUCUUAAUUUUUAUAACAGCGUACCUAUAAUAGCCGCUUGAGGUCUCCUAGGUUAACAGCCUCUAGUUUAUAUAGAUUAUAUAAUAGCAAAGGAAGUCGUUCCAUAAGCACUCAGAUAAUAUAUAUAUAUAUAUAUAUGUAUAUAUAUAUGUAUAUAUAUAUAUAUAAUAUUUGGAUGUCCGGAAUUUAGGGAAAUAAAUUUAUAUUGAGUUAUAUUAUAGGAGUAAAAGUAAAUUAUAGAGAAGAGGCGAAAAAUUAAAGAAAGAACGAGAUUAGAGUGAUUCUUCGGCAUAUUAUGUAAAAUUAUAUAGGUGUGCACAUGUAUAAACUAGACGAAAGAUAGUUUCUGCGUGUAUGUAUAUAUAUGUAUACGUAUGAGACGUUUAGUAGGAGUGUAAAAGUUAUUAUGUGUUCAUGCCUGUAUUCUGCUUUAUACGUAUGUUUAAAGGCUUUCUCUUUUUUUUAAGUAUUUCUUUAAUUUUUAUUUCCCCCCUCUUUUCAAUUUUCAAUAUGUAUAUAUGUAUAUAUAUAUGUAUAUAUGUAUUGUUAAUAUAUACAUACUGUUUACUUAAUAUAAACUCAGUAUAGUAUACGGAUAAUGUUUGAGGGUUAAAUGGUUUCUAGUCACUGUGAAUGAAAUAAAAGAUCAUAUAAUAUUUAUAUUAUAUUGGCCUUAUUCUAUGUAUGCAAAUAUAUAUAUUAUAUAUAUGUAUGUUCUAUACGUAUAUAUAUGUAUAUAUAUCCUUGUUAUAUUAUAGCACGGUGAUACGUCCUUCCGCGUUCCUAGUAAGUCGGUGUUGAAGUGCUUCGAUUGCGUACAAUGGGAGGGGUGGUUGCAAUGAAGGUUUAUUAUUAUAUAAUUUUUAUAUUUUAAUAUUCCUAGUUGCAACAGCAAUUUAACCUUUGUCACGUAACACUGAGAAGGUUGAUUUUUUUUUUUUAUACAUAUCCUAUAGAAAUUGUAUAACCCUCACGACAUAUACCUUACUAUAAUUUAUCUAGCGAAACCACAACCAAGGGAACAGGCUUGGUAAAAUCAGUAGAGAAAGUAAGCUAUUAUUUCUGUUGAAGAAUUUAUUAUUUACCCAAAUUUGUAACUUUUGUAAAACUACUUAAGAGGUGUAGAUAUAAGUGGGAGUAAUUAAAAAAAAUAUAUAAAAAGAAAAAAGAAGAGGGGGAAAAAGGAAGAAGAAGAAUAGAGAAAAAGGAAAAUAAAAAGGGUUGGGGGGGAGAUCGGGAAAGGAAAUAAAGAAUGAAAAUAAAAUUAGUAUUUAUAUAUUUUUUUUAUUUUUGUUUUUUUUUUUUCUUUUUCUUUUUCUUUCUUUCUUUUUUUUUUUUCUUUUUUUUUUGUUUUUCUUGUUCUGAUUUUUUUUUUCUUCUUUUUUUAUUUCUGUAUAUUUUUUUUGAUUUACACAAUUGAAAUACCACUACUUUUAUGUUACUUUUACUUAUCCAUUGUUAGGAAAAAUGUAUAAAUAUACAUGUCAUUCUUAAUGUGCUUUGUAAGAAAUAUUAAAAUAUAUUUUAUAUAUGUGUUAUUUUUUUUUAUGAAGGGCCUUUUGAAUGCUGAAUAUUGAGAUAAAUUUGUUUUAUUAUGUAUAUGUAUAUGUAUAUAUGUAUAUGUAUAUAUAACACUUUGAUCGCACAUGUUCCUAUUUAUAAUAUAUACAAAUAUUUAUAUAUAUGUAUGUUGUUCAUAUAUUCGUAUGUGUUACAACUACAUUAUAUUUAUAUAUGCAUAUUUAUGGAGACAGAGUUUACAGUUUGUGGAGUUUAUUGGAUUAGUUUUUAAAUAUUAAGAAGAAUUGAAUUUUAUUAUUUUUUUUUUUUUUUUAUUUUUAAAUUAAUCCUUAUUAUUAUUAUAGUUUUUUUUUUUUUUUUUUUUAUUAUUAUGUUUAUAAAUGUAUAUGUGUAAUUAGAGGAAGAAUUAAAUACAAAUAUUCGGAUAGUUGCAAAAUAUAUUUAUGAUAUAUAUAUAAAAAGGAAAAAGAAAAAAAAUAUAUAAAUAUAUAAAAAUAAAUGUUUUGGAUAAUAAGAACAGGGAAUAAUAGUUAUAUACUUGUGGCUGCCGAGCGAUAUUUUUAGCGACGUAGCUUAUUGAUUUGAAAAUUUUGGCUCUUCCUAUCAUUGAGAAGAAGAAAUCUCAAAGUGUCGGAUUGUUCAACCGUUAAAAGGGAACGAGAGCAGUAUAAAAAGAAAAAAAAAAUUUUUUUUUUUAGUAACCUUCACGAGAUAGGUUAGUUUUUUACUCUACUGAAGAAUAUUAUUUAUUUUAUAUAUUAUAUUGUUCCAGUAAUCGAACUAAGUACGAAAGGAAUAGUUUGGUCAGAUAGUUAAUUUAGCUAUCGGUUGAAAAACCAACAUAGCAAAGAUUUUAGGUCUGUUGUGAUAAUAGCUGAACGCCUCUUAAGCUAGAAUCCAUUCUGUAUAUACAAUAUAUGAAUCGUUUUCUUUGUCUUGUAAUUUUUUUUUUUACUGUUAAUGUAAAAAGAGAACUUAUAUUAUAUUACAAAGCAUUUUUUUUAUAAAUGUUUAUAAAUAUAAAUAAUCCACUUUAAAAUUUAAAUACGUAUAUUAUAUGUAUAUAUGUGUACGUAUUUAAAAUAUUUAUUAGUUAGCAACAAAGAAUGUAAGAAUUAUCUGUAGACAACUUUUUUUGCCUCGGAGUGCUGUAAUCACGAAAGUAAACAAUUUAAGUUUUACUUUUUGAUGAGGCUUGUC
rnacentral:rRNA from 1 species